rnacentral:rRNA from 1 species
UACGUAGGGUGCGAGCGUUGUCCGGAAUUAUUGGGCGUAAAGAGCUUGUAGGCGGUUUGCCGCGUCUGCCGUGAAAGCCCAGGGCUUAACCCUGGGUCUGCGGUGGGUACGGGCAGACUAGAGUGUGGUAGGGGAGACUGGAAUUCCUGGUGUAGCGGUGAAAUGCGCAGAUAUCAGGAGGAACACCGAUGGCGAAGGCAGGUCUCUGGGCCACUACUGACGCUGAGAAGCGAAAGCAUGGGGAGCAAACAGG